rnacentral:lncRNA from 1 species
GUUUUAAAAAAAUACCUACCUGCAUUCCAAUCUGUUGUUACCAGCACGGGAGUCUCUCACAGUAAGGGUUUUUGCUGACUGGUGGCUGGCACAAAGGAGUGAAGAUGGGCAGGAAGGGAAGAAUGAGAGAGUCUACUGGAAGGAGGAUGCCUGCUUAGACCAUGAUCAUCCUGGCUCCUGUCCGACAAGAAGAAUAUGCUUUAAUGGAGGUCCAAGUUCAAUGCUUUCACCAAUGAACCUACGAUGUUUGGCACCCAGUAAUGCAGAUGACGCUGAUCCUACUGGAGAAACGUUUGGUCCCAUCCAGGGUAGGUGUUGGUAGAGGUGAGGAGAUCCUAGCAAAGCUUCAGAUCUUUCACAUCUGAGCAUAAUGAACAAUGCUGAGUCCAAGUUACACUGCCAUGGACGUCAUCCUGAUGCUGCCCCCUCAGGGAGUGUCAACAGCUCAUAGCCUAAGACUCAAACAGGAAAGGCAAAGAAAGCAGUUAAUAAGUACGUCGAGUGUACAGCAUCUGAUUAUUUUCUCCAAAUAACCUCACAUUUGCAGUAGAAAAAAUAAUCACUGUUACUUCUAAUAAAGGUCUCACCAUAUUAUUUUAAUCAUCAACACUUGAACACAAUUAUAAUUGCAUUGAAAAGUGAUACCUAUUUUGUUAUGGCAUUAGAAUUCAUGUAAGGGGCAGCAACACAAAUACAGAAAUUGGCAAUUACUAAAGUAGGAAAGCAUUAGCUUCCUAUUCUCUUAGAUGUUUCAUUAUGCACAUCGCCUAUACAUUCAGAAAGGACUUAAGUCAAUUUGUCUGAAUUUCAAAUAUUUUUGUACAGCUGUUUUAUGAGAAAAUAAAUUCCAAUCCUCCAUACUUUUAAAUUGUUUUAGC